rnacentral:rRNA from 1 species
UACAGAGGUCCCGAGCGUUGUUCGGAUUCAUUGGGCGUAAAGGGUGCGUAGGCGGUUUGCUAAGUUUGAUGUGAAAUCCCGGGGCUCAACCCUGGAAUGGCAUUGAAUACUGGCGGACUAGAGUCCUGGAGAGGAAACUGGAAUUUACGGUGUAGCAGUGAAAUGCGUAGAGAUCGUAAGGAAGACCAGUGGCGAAGGCGAGUUUCUGGACAGGUACUGACGCUGAGGCACGAAGGCCAGGGGAGCAAACGGG